GGGUCGGUAGCUCAGUGGUCAGUUCAUGAUGCGAGAGACAGUCUGGAAACUAUAUCUGACAUCUCAGAAAGGUAGAGCGAAAGAUUGCAGUUCUUCUGAUCAACGACAAUCUUUAGGUCACGUGUUCGAACCACGUUCGGCCCU